CUCAGCGCCUUGGUCUACUCACCCAUAGCAAGGGUGGUCCCAGGAGGAAAUAAGCCAAUGAACCGGGGAGGAGUGUGGUGGCUGACAGCAUACUGCUGCCAUUACACUGCCUGUGAGUCCUAGCCCCGCCUGGCCCGGGAAGCUGUGGGAGGCUCUGGUCCUGGAGGCUGGGGCACCGUGCAGGAACACCAGCGAAGGCUUUUUUUCCUAAGGUCCCACCAGGGUCAAAAUUGUCUGGCCCAGGUUCCAAGACCUCCACCACCUCAAGACAAGUAAGAGAGGCCAGGCCAAGCAAGGCCUCCUGGUGGUGGUGGUUGGUGACUGGUGGCCAGCCAGGGUCUGGGUGCCCGAACAGCUGCCAGAAUCUGGGGUAGGGGGUGGUUCAUGCAGACCAGGACUGGGCUCCAUGGUAGGCUGAAAUAUGACACCAGCCACUGGAAGGCAUGGGCCAUCUGUCCUACUGGUGACCAGGUCUUUAGGUUGAAAACCAGGACUCAGCAGCUGAUGGGUUCAAAAUCUGCCUUUCGAGGCCAGCGCGGUGGCUCAUGCCCGUAAGCCCAGCACUCUGGGAGGCCGAGGUGGGUGGAUCACCUGAGGUCAGGAGUUCGAGACCAGCCUGGCCAACAUGGAGAAAACCCAUCUCUACUGAAAAAACAAAAAUUAGCUGGAUGUGGUGGCAGGCACCUGUAGUCCCAGCUACUUGGGAGUCUGAGGCAGGACAAUCGCUUGAAUCUGGGAGAUGGACGUUGCAGUGAGCUGAGAUGGCACCACUGCAUUCCAACCUGGGUGACAGAGCGGGACUCUGUCUCAAAAUAAAUAAAUAAAUAAAUACAUAAAUAAAUAAAAUCUGCCUUUCCAGCACAGGGCCCUAAUGGACAGCUGCUGUGGUCAAGGAAAAUGUGGGGAGGAAAGGCUGACUUUACUAAGUCACCCGGGGGGUACACUGGGCCCAGCACCUCAACUCUGAUGGGGUGGCCAAAGGCAAGGAGGGCUGGGUGCCUCAACCUCCCCACAUGCCCCAGCUCUCUGCAUGGGCUGUCAG
rnacentral:lncRNA from 10 species